GAUGAACGCUGGCGGCGUGCCUAAUACAUGCAAGUCGAGCGGAAAGGCGAUGUGCUUGUUCAUCUGCCGCGAGCGGCGGACGGGUGCGUAACACGUGCAUAACCUACCUAUAAGUGUGGGAUAACUUCGCGAAAGCGGAUCUAAUACAGGAUAAUAUAUUGAACCGCCUGGGUCAUUAGAAAAUGACGGCUGUGGUGUUACUUAUACGUGCAUCUGAGCCGGUUGAGCUAGUGGUGACGGUAACGGCUUACCAAGGCGAGGAUGCGUAGCCGAACUGAGAGGGUGAUCAGCCACACUGGAACUGGGACACGGACCAGAGUCCUACGGGAGGGAGCAGUAGGGAAACGGCCGCAAGGGGCGAAAGCCUGACGCAGCAACGGCGCGUGUGUGAGGAAGGUGUACGGAUCGUGAAACGCUGUUAUUAGGUAAAAACGACUGUGUCUGUAUCUCUGGAGGUACUGACGGUACCAAAUGAAAAAGCACCGGCUAACUACGUG
rnacentral:rRNA from 1 species